rnacentral:tRNA from 1 species
GCGCCCGUAGCUCAGAUGGAUAGAGCAUCUGCCUUCUAAGCAGGUGGUCGGGGGUUCGAUUCCCUCCGGGCGUGCCA